rnacentral:misc_RNA from 1 species
GGGAAUGUUCACUUCUAUAAUAGCCGCAAGGCCAUGACUGAAGCUAAGGACCUUGCUGCCAAGAAAGAUAUAAAGGCUCUUGAGAAUCUUUGCUAUGAAGAGGUUGAGAAAUUUAUGUCCCUCUGGAACAACAACAAGGCCUUUAGGGAUGAUUAUGAGAAGAGAAUUUUGCCAUCACUUGACAGUACGACAGUUGAGCAGAGAUGGACGAAUCAGAAACCCUGAUGAGAAGCCAUUGGUGGUAUUGGAGACA